AUUAAAUCAAAACAGAUUCAUUUUUAUAUGUUUUUGAUCGGAUCUGAACAUGAACCUGUCGUUUUCAGGAGCAACUUGUCAAAGCCAAAACGCCAGACAUUCAUACGCAACUUGUCCAACGCCAGGCAGCCAAAACGCCAGGCGUGGCCUUCACACCAAAAAUCGAAAUUUGAGCCCGGAGUUAUACCUAUCCUUUAAACAUAUUUUGUUCCACACGUAGAAAUUGCAAACUCCCAGGUAAAAUACCUCUAUUAAAAUAGCUCUAUCUUUAUUUCUAGAUCUAGUUAUUCAUACUAUGCUAAAAAAUCCUUAAUUACUUCCCAAAAAUGAAAGAUUUUGGGUAUGGAACAAAGGCAAAGCUCGAUGAGCACUUCGGGGGGUUUCUGAAUUUUCGCAUUGUUGGCAUGAUUAGACGAAUAAUGACCAUAGAAAAGGGCUCCCGUAAAACAGGAAUUUUGCGUAGUUUAAGG